rnacentral:sRNA from 1 species
GUCACGAACCCGCCGUUAACCGCGAAAGCGGUAUAACGGGGGCUUGAAAGAGUCCAAACGUGACCAGACUAAGUUCUUAGAGAACUCCGUUAUUUGGGUCAAGACACCUAAGAAUGCGUGCCAGUUUUUAGCUCUGUCGUCUAACUUUAAACAGAUUUAAUCGGGUUAAGUNAGUCCAAACGUGACCAGACUAAGUUCUUAGAGAACUCCGUUAUUUGGGUCAAGACACCUAAGAAUGCGUGCCAGUUUUUAGCUCUGUCGUCUAACUUUAAACAGAUUUAAUCGGGUUAAGUCAGUGAGUUAGGCCUAACAAGCUCAGAUAACAUUGUCAAGGCAAACAUUACCCAAGAAAUUGG